UCUUUUUGUUUGCCAUGGCAUUGUCUAUUCUUCUUUUACUUGUAUGUUUUGAUUGUCCUUUUGGUAUUUUUUUUUCUUCACUUUUAUACUUGGGUAUAGGUGUUAAAUAUAUUGGUGGUGCAUAUUGAUGUUUCUCACUGUUUGUGUUGAAUACAAAAGCUGUAUACUGGUAUAUAUUGGUGUUGUGUAAUAAUGUUUCACACUCUUUUUAUGGAAUAAAAAGAGUUCUAUAUACAUUGAGAUUGUGUAAUGAUGUUUCUUUUUAAAUAUUUUGAAGACAAGAGUAUUUGCAAUAGAU
rnacentral:lncRNA from 1 species